rnacentral:rRNA from 1 species
ACGGGUGGUAAUGCCGGAUGUUCCACAUGAUCGCAUGUGAUUGUGGGAAAGAUUUCAUCGGCGUGGGAUGGGGUCGCGUCCUAUCAGCUUGUUGGUGAGGUAACGGCUCACCAAGGCUUCGACGGGUAGCCGGCCUGAGAGGGCGACCGGCCACAUUGGGACUGAGAUACGGCCCAGACUCCUACGGGAGGCAGCAGUGGGGAAUAUUGCACAAUGGGCGCAAGCCUGAUGCAGCGACGCCGCGUGAGGGAUGGAGGCCUUCGGGUUGUAAACCUCUUUUGUUUGGGAGCAAGCCUUCGGGUGAGUGUACCUUUCGAAUAAGCGCCGGCUAACUACGUGCCAGCAGCCGCGGUAAUACGUAGGGCGCAAGCGUUAUCCGGAUUUAUUGGGCGUAAAGGGCUCGUAGGCGGCUCGUCGCGUCCGGUGUGAAAGUCCAUCGCUUAACGGUGGAUCUGCGCCGGGUACGGGCGGGCUGGAGUGCGGUAGGGGAGACUGGAAUUCCCGGUGUAACGGUGGAAUGUGUAGAUAUCGGAAAAGAACACCA